rnacentral:rRNA from 1 species
UACGGAGGGUGCAAGCGUUAUCCGGAAUUACUGGGUGUAAAGGGCGCGUAGGCGGCUUCCUAAGUCAGGUGUGAAAGCCUAUCGCUUAACGAUAGAAUUGCAUUUGAAACUGUAUAGCUUGAAAGGGGUUGAGGUCAGCAGAAUGUGUCAUGUAGCGGUGAAAUUCAUAGAUAUGCCAUAGAACACCGAUGGCGAAGGCAGCUGUCUGGGCCUACUUUGACGCUGAGGCACGAAAGCGUGGGGAGCGAACAGG